UAGUGUAUAAGUCCGGUCCUCUGAGGUCCGUCCGGGAUAAUGAAGGCGAGACGGCGCUGAUGCAAUAUGUAUGUGGAGGACUUUUAUUAUUAAUUUUUAUUUUAUGUUUAUAUAUUGUCAUAAUGAAAGUUACUUAUUGGAAACGGCUCACUACAUGCGCGAUUAUAGCCUAAAUAAAACCAUCGGUUUGAAUGAUUCUGAUGACGUGGAUCUGUCAGUAAAGUUUGAUAUUUAGUGAAAUAGGUUUGCUUUGUUGUUAAGGGAGCGAGCAUUGUGCAGCAUAAAUGAGGCGGUGGUGUAUUCUGAAGCAGAGGGGGAGAGAGGAGUGGUUCUGUCAACACACACAACAACAGGUAUCAGGUUUCUGGUGUGCUCGUGUGAUUUGUUGUGAUGAUGGUGCCGGUCAGACACUACAGUGGGGAUAGCAUGGUCAGUGUAAACAAACUUGCAUCGGGCAGCCCUAUGCACGUAGUGAGGACGGCGCAGGAGUCCGAAAGAUUUAAUGGAAGCAAGGUUGUCCGGAGAGAAGUGACAGGCGAGAUUCCGGAGUUGCAGAGCGGAGUAUGUUAGUAGUACCAUGUCCGCAGCAGGGAGAGCAGCUGCUAGCCGCAGGCUGAAAGCCGCAAGCUACCGGGCGCCAGCCGGGGUCAGGAAAACCGCAGGAAUGAGAGCCAAACCAGGAUAAGGAAAGGACCAAUUUUGUGGCAGACGGGGGACCCGUCUGGACACAAUCUGAGCAGGAGAGCAGCAGCCGGCAGUCUGGUUGUCAGGCAGGCCUCUUCGCCGCCAGCAGCCGAGCCAGAGUAGGGGGGAAGCGGCAGCCAGCGGUAGCCAACAGGUGGCGGGCCGCAGGGCGACGGGUCCAAGCCAGGUAGGGAGCCGACGUGGCCGACGAAAAAGGACGGUCCACCAAUAAGGCAGAAGAGGGUCCAGUGAUCACAGACUGGUGAGGAUAUCCUGAUAGCUGUGCGAGAAGCUAACAGCUGAUCGGCGGCUAGCGCUAACAGCUGAUCGUCAUAGAUGACGCCUGUGAGCUGGAACUGGACACAAACACAGUGAACAGAACCCUGAAACUGUCUGACAACAACAGGAAGGUGACACGUGUGAAGGAGCUUCAGUCAUAUCCUGAUCAUCCAGACAGAUUUGAAUACUGGUGUUCUCAGCUGCUGUGUAGGACUGGUCUGACUGGUCGCUGUUA